rnacentral:rRNA from 1 species
CAGCCGCCGCGGGAAAACGGAGGGGGCUAGCGUUGUUCGGAAUUACUGGGCGUAAAGCGCACGUAGGCGGCUUGGUAAGUUAGAGGUGAAAGCCCGGAGCUCAACUCCGGAAUUGCCUUUAAGACUGCCGAGCUAGCAGGUGAGAGAGGUAAGUGGAAUUCCGAGUGUAGAGGUGAAAUUCGUAGAUAUUCGGAAGAACACCAGUGGCGAAGGCGGCUUACUGGCUCAUACUGGACGCUGAGGUGCGAAAGCGUGGGGAGCAAACAGGAUUAGAUACCCCUGUAGUCCCUGUCUCUUAUAC